GAUGAACGCUAGCUACAGGCUUAACACAUGCAAGUCGAGGGGCAGCGCAGUGUAGCAAUACAUGGGCGGCGACCGGCGCACGGGUGCGUAACGCGUAUCCAACCUUCCCGUUACUCAGGGAUAGCCUUCCGAAAGGGAGAUUAAUACCUGAUGGUAUUCAAAUUCCGCAUGUUAUUUGAAUUAAAGAUUUAUCGGUAACGGAUGGGGAUGCGUGACAUUAGGUAGAUGGCGGGGUAACGGCCCACCAUGCCUACGAUGUCUAGGGGUUCUGAGAGGAAGGUCCCCCACACUGGAACUGAGACACGGUCCAGACUCCUACGGGAGGCAGCAGUGAGGAAUAUUGGUCAAUGGUCGGAAGACUGAACUAGCCAAGUAGCGUGAAGGAUGAAGGUUCUAUGGAUUGUAAACUUCUUUUAUACGGGAAUAAAACACCUUACGUGUAGGGUCUUGUAUGUACCGUAUGAAUAAGCAUCGGCUAACUCCGUG
rnacentral:rRNA from 1 species